AGGAAGUGGGGGAGGCGGCCACCGCGCUAACUCUUUACAUCUAGCUUCCCAGCGGCUUCAGCGGGGUGCAGCCGAACCGGGGACCUUCUGCGGAGGGGAUCAAAAGAGCUCUCAGAAACAUCUGGGCCUGGGUUUCCUGAUAGUGACACCCGGCGGAGACCUGAAGUAGCCUCGAUCGACGCUGGCUCUUGCAGGCGGAAGAUCGAAUUCAGUCCACAGAAAAUUCAACGUAAGCCCGGUGUCAUCUCACUAAACGACAGCUACAGCCGUCUCUUGGUCCCAUUCUAGGGCUAUUCUGGUCAGUUCGCGGGUCCACGCGCCACUGCCUUCCCUCGCGGCAGCUUCCGAGCAGCUCGGAGGCUGGAGCGUGACUUCUCAGCGGCAGGGCGGCGGUGGCGUGGGCGGGCAUCUCCGGGAAAGCGAGCAGAGGAAGUGGAGUCAACGCGCAGGCCGCUUGCCAGCGCGGGCCUCGGGGACACAGCGUGGGGCUGCGGAGCUCCGAGCUGGCCUGUCUGCGCCUCCUGCAAACUCCAGGAACUGCUACAGCCCAGAGCAGCUGGUUCCAGCUGUGCAAAGUCCAGUAAAUUGAGCUGAGCACAGCACGCUCCCUCUGAGGCGCCCUCCUGUAGCAGUUUCAGGGUGCACACGGAACUUUGGAGAAACAUUUAUCAGGAAAGCAAAAUAGGCUAAUGGGAGGAUUUCUUUGUUUUAAUCAUAAAACCUUGAAAAUUA
rnacentral:lncRNA from 1 species